UCCUCUUCCAGCAGGUCUGGGUGGGGACUGAGAUUCGGCCUCCCUAGCCAGCUCCCACGUGACAGCCACGCUGCUGGGCCACAAG
rnacentral:miRNA from 1 species